rnacentral:rRNA from 1 species
GACGAACGCUGGCGGCGUGCCUAAUACAUGCAAGUCGAACGAGAGCGACCGGUGCUUGCACUGGUCAAUCUAGUGGCGAACGGGUGAGUAACACGUGGGUAACCUGCCCAUCAGAGGGGGAUAACAUCCGGAAACGGAUGCUAAAACCGCAUAGGUCUUCGAACCGCAUGGUUUGAAGAGGAAAAGAGGCGCAAGCUUCUGCUGAUGGAUGGACCCGCGUUGCAUUAGCUAGUUGGUGAGGGAACGGCUCACCAAGGCCGUGAUGCAUAGCCGACCUGAGAGGGUGAUCGGCCACAUUGCGACUGAGACACGGCCCAAACUCCUACGGGAGGCAGCAGUAGGGAAUCUUCCGCAAUGGACGCAAGUCUGACGGAGCAACGCCGCGUGAGUGAAGAAGGUUUUCGGAUCGUAAAACUCUGUUGUUAGAGAAGAACAAGUGCUAGAGUAACUGUUAGCGCCUUGACGGUAUCUAACCAGAAAGCCACGGCUAACUACGUG